rnacentral:rRNA from 1 species
UACGUAGGGGGCAAGCGUUGUCCGGAAUUAUUGGGCGUAAAGCGCGCGUAGGCGGCUUUUCAAGUCGGAUGUGAAAUCCCCCGGGCUUAACCUGGGAACUGCAUUCGAGACUGUCUAGCUAGAGUAUGGGAGAGGGAAGUGGAAUUUCAGGUGUAGCGGUGAAAUGCGUAGAUAUCUGAAGGAACAUCAGUGGCGAAAGCGACUUCCUGGACCCAAUACUGACGCUCAUGUGCGAAAAAGCGUGGGGGGAGCAAAACAGGGAUUUAGAAAACCCCCAGUAGUCCAGAACCCAA